GGGCAAUUGGCGCUGCUAUACAUGCAAGUCGAGCGAGCUGAACCAACAGAUUCACUUCGGUGAUGACGUUGGGAACGCGAGCGGCGGAUGGGUGAGUAACACGUGGGGAACCUGCCCCAUAGUCUGGGAUACCACUUGGAAACAGGUGCUAAUACCGGAUAAGAAAGCAGAUCGCAUGAUCAGCUUAUAAAAGGCGGCGUAAGCUGUCGCUAUGGGAUGGCCCCGCGGUGCAUUAGCUAGUUGGUAGGGUAACGGCCUACCAAGGCAAUGAUGCAUAGCCGAGUUGAGAGACUGAUCGGCCACAUUGGGACUGAGACACGGCCCAAACUCCUACGGGAGGCAGCAGUAGGGAAUCUUCCACAAUGGACGAAAGUCUGAUGGAGCAACGCCGCGUGAGUGAAGAAGGUUUUCGGAUCGUAAAGCUCUGUUGUUGGUGAAGAAGGAUAGAGGUAGUAACUGGCCUUUAUUUGACGGUAAUCAACCAGAAAGUCACGGCUAACUACGUGCCAGCAGCCGCGGUAAUACGUAGGUGGCAAGCGUUGUCCGGAUUUAUUGGGCGUAAAGCGAGCGCAGGCGGAAGAAUAAGUCUGAUGUGAAAGCCCUCGGCUUAACCGAGGAACUGCAUCGGAAACUGUUUUUCUUGAGUGCAGAAGAGGAGAGUGGAACUCCAUGUGUAGCGGUGGAAUGCGUAGAUAUAUGGAAGAACACCAGUGGCGAAGGCGGCUCUCUGGUCUGCAACUGACGCUGAGGCUCGAAAGCAUGGGUAGCGAACAGGAUUAGAUACCCUGGUAGUCCAUGCCGUAAACGAUGAGUGCUAAGUGUUGGGAGGUUU
rnacentral:rRNA from 1 species